GCCUCGGUAGCUCAGUCGGCAGAGCGCGUGCCUUUUAAGCCCGUGGCCGCAGGUUCGAGCUCCGCCUGAGGUG
rfam:Perkinsus marinus ATCC 50983 gcontig_1104296153334, whole genome shotgun sequence.